AAUGCUGACGUGAGUAACGACAAUGCGAGUGAAAAGCUCGCACGCCGGAAGACCAAGGGUUCCAGUCCAACGUUAAUCGGGGCUGGGUGAGUCGACCCCUAAGGCGAGGCCGAAAGGCGUAGUCGAUGGGAAAUCGGUUAAUAUUCCGAUACUUGUUUAUGAUGCGAUGGAGGGACGGAGAAGGUUAUGCCAGCUUGGCGAUGGUUGUCCAAGUGGAAGGAUGUAGUUAGGUUUAGUAGGCAAAUCCGCUAGACUAUUAAUGAGAUCUGAUAGCAAGCUGUACUUGUACAGCGAAGUGGCAAAUACCCUGCUUCCAGGAAAAGCUUCUAAGCGAUAGUCAUAAAGAAAUCGUACCCUAAACCGACACAGGUGGUCAGGUAGAGAAUACCAAGGCGCUUGAGAGAAC
rnacentral:rRNA from 1 species